AGUCUGGUGCCAGCAGCCGCGGUAAUUCCAGCUCCAAUAGCGUAUAUUAAAGUUGUUGCAGUUAAAAAGCUCGUAGUUGAAGUUCUGAUUGUUCGGGCCUCGCGCUUUAUAGCCGAGUAACCGACAGUCAUCCGCUUGCAAAUAUAUGUUCGCCUUUAACCGGGUGGCUAUAUGAGUAAGCAAUUUACCUUGAGAAAAACAGAGUGUUCCAGGCAGGUUUGUCCGGAAUGCAUCAGCAUGGAAUAAUAGAAUAUGACUGAAGUCGAUUUAUUGGUUUAAGGCUUUAGUAAUGAUUAAUAGGAACAGUCGGGGGCAUUGGUACUUGACAGUCAGAGGUGAAAUUCUAGGAUUUGUCAAAGACUAACAAAUGCGAAAGCAUUUGCCAAGGAUGUUUUCAUUAAUCAAGAACGAAAGUUAGGGGAUCAAAGACGAUCAGAUACCGUCCUAGUCUUAACUAUAAACUAUACCGACUCGGAUUCAGAUGAAUCAAAAAGUUCAUUUGGGACCGUAGGAGAAAUCAAAGUUUUUGGGUUCUGGGGGAAGUAUGGUCGCAAGGCUGAAACUUAAAGGAAUUGACGGUUUUGCACCACCAUGGAGUGGAGUUUGCGGCUUAAUUUGACCCAACACUGGGAAACUCAUCAGGGCAAGAAGAUUUUAGGAUUGACAGAUUGAGAGUUCUUUCUUGAUUGGUCUAGUGAUGGUGCAUGGCCGUUCUUAGUUGGUGGAGUGAUUUGUCUGGUUAAUUCCGUUAACGAACGAGACCUUAACCUGCUAACUAGUAUUACUAUCCCAAAUAGUAACUACUUCUUAGAGGGACUAUGUGAUGUAAUCACAUGGAAGUUUGAGGCAAUAACAGGUCUGUGAUGCCCUUAGAUGUCCUGAGCUGCACGCGUACUACAAUGGCACUUUCAACGAGCUUUUCCUGAUCCGAAAGGAUUUGGGUAAUCUUUUUAGUGAGUGCCGUGAUUGGGAUAGAUCUUUGUAAUUAUGGAUCUUGAACCAGGAAUUCCUAGUAAGCGCGAGUCAUCAGCUCGUGCUGAUUACGUCCCUGCAAAAUGUACACACCGCCCGUCGCUUUUACCGAUUGAGUGCUCAGGUGAACCUUCUCGAUAGAGCAAUCUAAAAAUUAAGUAAACCUUAGCACUUAGAGGAAAAAGAAGUCGUAAC
rnacentral:rRNA from 1 species